GACGAACCGUGCGAACGUUGUUCGGAAUCACUGGGCUUAAAGGGCGCGUAGGCGGGCUGUCAAGUCUGGGGUGAAAUGCCACGGCUCAACCGUGGAACUGCCUCAGAUACUGACGGCCUCGAGGAAGGUAGGGGCAUGCGGAACUGUAGGUGGAGCGGUGAAAUGCGUUGAUAUCUACAGGAACACCGGUGGCGAAGGCGGCAUCCUGGACCGGCAUUGACGCUGAGGUGCGAAAGCGUGGGGAGCAAACAGG
rnacentral:rRNA from 1 species